AGCAGCCGCGGUAAUUCCAGCUCCAAUAGCGUAUAUUAAAGUUGUUGCAGUUAAAAAGCUCGUAGUUGAAUUUCGGGAUCAAAGGAUCGGUCAUGCCUUGGUAUGUACUGGUUUAUUGGUUCUCACCUUCUAAAGAACCAUAAUGUCAUUCAUUUGAUGUUAUGGGGAAUUAGGACUGUUACCCUGAAAAAAUUAGAGUGUUUAAAGCAGGCUUACGCUUGAAUACAUUAGCAUGGAAUAAUGAAAUAGGACAUCAGAUUCUAUUUUGUUGGUUUCUAGGAUCGGAUGUAAUGAUUAAUAGGGAUAGUUGGGGGCAUUAGUAUUCAAUUGUCAGAGGUGAAAUUCUUGGAUUUAUUGAAGACUAACUACUGCGAAAGCAUUUGCCAAGGAUGUUUUCAUUAAUCAAGAACGAAGUUAGGGAUCGAAGACGAUCAGAUACCGUCGUAGUCUUAACCAUAAACUAUGCCGACUAGGGAUCGGGAUGAUGUUAAUUUUANAAUGACUCAUUC
rnacentral:rRNA from 1 species